rnacentral:lncRNA from 1 species
CUUUCUUCCUUUUUUGGCUUUGAUACAAGCAAGAGGUUUUACCAUGACUUGGAAGGGCAAAAUAAUGAAGCAAAUGGACAGGACAAGCACUACUUGUGGAAGCUUCUCCCGCUCAGCAAGUCUCCAAGAAUUUGCCUUGCCUCAUUGGGGACGGCGAACCGCAUCCAAUGUGAUGCUGUUUCCAAGAGUUUUGGGACCUCGGCUGGUAGACCCUUCAAGAUUUCGAUGCUCUCAUGGAGAGACCUUAUCCCUAGCUUGGCUUCUUCGAGUGAUAUCUUGGUCUGCUCGAGCUGUGUCGUUUGAGAGGUGAGGGAUUCAAGCAUUUUUAUUCCUGAUUCCCUUGGAACGCACCGAAUUUGCAUUACGAUUUUUGUCGCACAGCAUCCUCCAUCUCAACUCUUCGAGCUGUUGGAGGGCUCAGGAUUUCUCCUCUUUUGCCUUUUUUUUUGUGAAAUUUUUU